AGAGUUUGAUCAUGGCUCAGGAUGAACGCUGGCGGCGUGCCUAAUACAUGCAAGUCGAAUGGGAUCCACGUUUUCGGAUGUGGUGAGAGUGGCGCACGGGUGAGUAACACGUAGCUGACCUACCCUUCACUGGGGGACAACUUGUCGAAAGACGAGCUAAUACCGCGUAAGCUCACGAGAGUUAGAGGUCUCAUGAGUAAAGCAUUAUAGUAGCGGUGAAGGCGGGGGCUGCGUUCCAUCAGCUAGUUGGUGAGGUAAAGGCUCACCAAGGCGACGACGGAUAGGGGACCUGAGAGGGUGACCCCCCACACUGGAACUGAGACACGGUCCGGACUCCUACGGGAGGCAGCAGUAAGGAAUAUUGCACAAUGGGCGCAAGCCUGAUGCAGCAACGCCGCGUGAAGGAUGAAGGCUUUCGGGUUGUAAACUUCUUUUCUGGGGGACGAGCAAGGAUGGUACCCCAGGAAUAAGUCUCGGCUAACUACGUGCCAGCAGCCGCGGUAAAACGUAGGAGGCGAGCGUUAUCCGGAUUUACUGGGCGUAAAGCGCGGGUAGGCGGUGACUUAAGUCAUGCGUGAAAGCUCCUGGCUCAACUGAGAGAGGUCGUGUGAAACUGGGUCACUAGAGGCAGGUAGAGGCAAACGGAAUUCCGGGUGGAGUGGUGAAAUGCGUAGAGAUCCGGAGGAACACCAGUGGCGAAGGCGGUUUGCUGGCCCUGACCUGACGCUCAGACGCGAAAGCAUGGGGAGCGAACGGGAUUAGAAACCCCGGUAGUCCAUGCCGUAAACGAUGCAUACUAGGUGUUGGGAAUGCACUGCAUUUUCAGUACCGAAGCUAACGCGAUAAGUAUGCCGCCUGGGGAGUACGAUCGCAAGAUUAAAACUCAAAGGAAUUGACGGGGGCCCGCACAAGCAGCGGAGCGUGUGGUUUAAUUCGAGGCUACGCGAAGAACCUUACCUAGGCUUGACAUAUAGGUGGUAGAGAACGGAAACGGGAUCGACCUUCGGGAGCCUAUACAGGAGCUGCAUGGCUGUCGUCAGCUCGUGUCGUGAGAUGUUCGGUUAAGUCCGAAAACGAGCGCAACCCCUGGCGUUAGUUACAAGUGUCUAACGCAACUGCCCGGGGUAACUGGGAGGAAGGUGGGGAUGACGUCAAGUCAGCAUGGCCUUUAUGUCUAGGGCUACACACACGCUACAAUGGUCGGUACAAUAGGCGGCGAAACCGCGAGGUGGAGCGAAUCCUCUAAAGCCGAUCUCAGUUCGGAUUGUAGGCUGCAACUCGCCUGCAUGAAGUUGGAGUUGCUAGUAACCGUAGGUCAGCUACACUACGGUGAAUACGUUCCCGGGCCUUGUACACACCGCCCGUCACGUCAUGAGAGCUGGUCAUGCCUAAAGCCGGUGGGCUAACCGUAAGGAGGCAGCCGUCAAAGGCAGGGCUGGUGACUGGGACGAAGUCGUAACAAGGUAGCCGUA
rnacentral:rRNA from 1 species